GGACAGAUAUCUUGGAAAUCUGCGGUAUUUUUUUUUUUUUAAAGAAGGUCAUUCACUACAUGAAGAUCAAAUACCAUGAAAGUACCGUGGACAGUUUCGGGACGUUGUCUUUGCAAAGCUUUCUGGUGCCCGUAUAGUACGCAUAGCAGUCCACCCCAAUGCUAUGAAGAUGGGAUAUGGGUCUGCUGCGGUUGAACUCUUGACCAGAUACUUUGAGGGUCAGCUAGCUUCAAUAUCAGAAGGUGAUGAUGAACUGGAUGUGGAGCCUUCAGAGUUACCAAGGCUGCUGAAAAUGUUAAUAGAAUUUGCUCCAUUCUACAUCAGUCAAAUCCUAGUUGAGAAUAUCUGUUUCUCCUCAUUCUCCUGAAUUGGUUAUUCUUGUAUUGUCUACUAGUUCCUAACACAAUUUCUAUAUAUGGUUGGAUCAGAGUGCUGUGACUGGUGAGCGAGCACACAUGUAUGCUUUCGAAACCAUUAACAUUAAGCAACGACACGUUUGAAGUUGAUGAGUCGGAUGAACUGGGCUUCUUCGUCCCCUUCCAUAAAGUACUAUUUUAGGUUGACAACUUUUCCUGGUGCGGUUUUAUCGUGUUGAUAAUAUGAUCAACUUCCUGGAGGUUGAUUCUUGGGGGAAUUCAUCAGAUGGAUUUUUGAAGAAACUCGCCCGUGUGCUUUCACCUUAUGAUAUGGUUUGACUCAGAGGGUAGACUUCGUUGCCAAACUUCGUUGACUUCAAUCUGGUCUAUGACAUCUGCAAAACUCUAGCUCAUCAUUAUUUUCAAGAGAAGCUCCUUGUCUCGCUGUCAUAUGUUCAAGCAUCUGUACUCCUGUGUUUAGGCUUGCUAGAGUAGUCUGAUUUCUCGAACAUCGAGAGAGUGCUUGAACCUCACAAUGUAUCAGUAGAUGAAGAUCUCAGGGAAGGAGCAAAAGAAGUUGAGGAACAAAUGAGGGCAAAGAUAGAAGAACUGUUGGAUCUUGAGCUGCUUGAACAAUUUGCUAUUGGGGACCAAGAUGCUCAGGAAGGCUUUGCAAAAGUCUAAGAUCUCUUCAAGUGGUCUUGUAAGUAUCGAGUCCACCAAAUCUGAUAACAAGAAAGAGAAGCCAAGUGGUUUUGAUAAAUCCACCAAAAAAUAGAGAGGCAAUGAUGAGCACUCCUCCAGAUCCAAUAAGAAGAGAAGAGCCUGAUGUGGAGUUCAUGCAACAAUGGUUUUUUUUUUGCAACAGUGACCAGGAAAUUUUUAUCAUUGGGGUUUCUAUGAAUUUGGAUUUUCUAUGAAUUUGAAUAUUAUUAAAUUUUUGGUUUGAUCAUCACAAAA